GUGGAUUAGAUACCCUGGUAGUCCGCGCCGUAAACGAUGUGAACUGGAUGCAGGGGGUGUUGAUCCCCUCUGUGUCGUAGCUAACGCGCUAAGUUCACCGCCUGGGGAGUACGGCCGCAAGGUUAAAACUCAAAGGAAUUGACGGGGGCCCGCACAAGCGGUGGAGUAUGUGGUUUAAUUCGAUGCAACGCGAAGAACCUUACCUGGUCUUGACAUCCCGGGAAUUCCCUUGAAAGGGGGAAGUGCCUCGCAAGAGGAGCCUGGAGACAGGUGCUGCACGGCUGUCGCCAGCU
rnacentral:rRNA from 1 species